UACGUAGGGUGCAGGCGUUAAUCGGAAUUACUGGGCGUAAAGCGUGCGCAGGCGGUUUGUUAAGACAGAUGUGAAAUCCCCGGGCUCAACCUGGGAACUGCAUUUGUGACUGCAUAGCUGGAGUACGGUAGAGGGGGGUGGAAUUCCGCGUGUAGCAGUGAAAUGCGUAGAUAUGCGGAGGAACACCGAUGGCGAAGGCAAUCCCCUGGACCUGUACUGACGCUCAUGCACGAAAGCGUGGGGAGCAAACAGG
rnacentral:rRNA from 1 species